GCCUCAUUGGCUGAGGGGCAGAGCGUCUGUCUAGUAAACAGAAGGUCGCAGGUUCGAUUCCAGCAUGAGGCA
rfam:Toxocara canis scaffold1095, whole genome shotgun sequence.